GUUGGCCGGGACUUCUUCUGUAGGUACCGUCAUUUUCGUCCCUACUGAAAGGGGGUUUACAACCCGAAGGCCUUCAUCCCCCACGCGGCGUUGCUGCGUCAGGCUUUCGCCCAUUGCGCAAGAUUCCCCA
rnacentral:rRNA from 1 species